AACGAACGCUGGCGGCAGGCCUAACACAUGCAAGUCGAGCGAGGACUUCGGUCCUAGCGGCGGACGGGUGGGUAACGCGUGGGAACGUGCCCUUUGCUUCGGAAUAGCCCUGGGAAACUGGGAGUAAUACCGGAUGAGCCCUUUGGGGGAAAGAUUUAUCGGCAAAGGAUCGGCCCGCGUUGGAUUAGGUAGUUGGUAGGGUAAUGGCCUACCAAGCCGACGAUCCAUAGCUGGUUUGAGAGGAUGAUCAGCCACACUGGGACUGAGACACGGCGCAGACUCCUACGGGAGGCAGCAGUGGGGAAUCUUAGACAGUGGAGGAGACCCUGAUCUAGCCAUGCCGCGUGAGCGAUGAAGGCCUUAGAGUUGUAAAGCGCUUUCAGCUGGGAAGAUAAUGACGGUACCAGAAGAAGAAGCCCCGGCUAACUCCGUG
rnacentral:rRNA from 1 species